rnacentral:tRNA from 1 species
GGUCCCAUCGUCUAGCGGUUUAGGAUACUGGCCUCUCACGCCGGAGACACGGGUUCGAUUCCCGUUGGGACUACCA